rnacentral:sRNA from 1 species
CAGUUGGGAUUUGUGUAGGAGAGAUAAAGUGAAUAUGUGUAUCAAUUCCACCCGCUGUAAUAAUUUGUCCUUCUCCUGCUAUAACUUCUGUUGCAGCACCUACAACCAUUGCCUCAUUUACACUAUCUUGCGUGUCUGGAUUUCCCGCUUUACCAAUGCCUACGAUUUUUCCACCCUUAAUGCCAAUAUCAGCUUUGUAAAUCCCUGUAUAAUCAAUAAUCAUUGCAUUUGUGAUGACUGCAUCAAGCUCAUUUGUAUAAGUGCUUGCGCUUUGUGCCAUACCAUCGCGGAUAG